UGGCACAUAGCGGCGGCUAUACAUGCAGUCGAGCGGACUGAUGGGAGCUUGCUCCCUGAAGUCAGCGGCGGACGGGUGAGUAACACGUGGGCAACCUGCCUGUAAGACUGGGAUAACUCCGGGAAACCGGGGCUAAUACCGGAUAACUCUUUCCCUCACAUGAGGGAAAGCUGAAAGAUGGUUUCUGCUAUCACUUACCGAUGGGCCCCCGGCCCCAUUACCAAUUGGGGAAGGAACCGCUCACCCAGGGGACCAAGCCUUACCCAACUGAAAAGGUGAUCCGCCACCCUGGGACUGAAACCCCGGCCAAACUCCUACCG
rnacentral:rRNA from 2 species